rnacentral:lncRNA from 1 species
AGUGAGUAAACAAAAGUUAUUGAUGCUUUUUCAGUCAUUUCCAGAUACGUGCCUUCUCCUUCAGUAAGUUUUCUCUUUCAACAAAGAAAAGCAUUCAAGCAAAAUCAAUGGCUAUAGUGGCCACAUCUGGCAAAGUAUGCAGAAUUUCAUAGCCAUAGCACUCCACUUCUCUACUGAAAGAGGAAGAUGCUUAAUGGAAAUCUUUUAAAGGUGGUGUGCUGUGAUUUAAGCAUUUGACCUUUACACCUUCAACAUAUCAGACCAAAUCCUUCCCUGAAGGAGAUCACCGUUUCCCAGGAGAACAGUUCUGUAUACAGAAGUCCUGAAACUAGUUAAUGUGAUACAGAGGAAUGCUACAGUCAAGAAACAGACUGGAUGAAUUUGGUACUCAUUGGGAUGGUCCUUCCCCCUCAGGAAGCAUGGACAGCACAGCUCAAUCCCAGGACAGAAUCUCAAAGUUGGAAAGGAUCUCAGUGGGCUUCUAUUUCAACCUGUUCUGGGGUAGGAUUCCCCUCUACAGUGGUCCCAGCCUUUGCUUGAAGACUUCCAGUAAGGGUAAACCCAUGACCCACCAAGGAAGUUGACCGACUUUUGGACAGGUUUAAUUGUAAGGAAGUUUCUUUGGCUAUCAAAUCUAAAACUGACUUCUUUGUAACUUCUACCCAUGUCUCUUAGUUCUGCUGCCUGGCACCAAGCGAGAGAAGGCUGACCCUUCCUCCACUUGACAGCCCAUCAGAUACUUGAAGACAGCCAUUGUUGUGUCUCCUGUCUUCUCUUCUGCAGGAUAUAUGUCCUUAAUUCUUUUAAUUGACCCUCACAUGGCACGCUUGGAGGAUUUUUUGAGAACCUCGUUCUCCAGUCAUUAGAAUCUCCUUGAGAACAUAAAUAGAUCAGAGUAUUGACAUCUUUGGAAAACAGCCUCACAAUGGAGAUGAUGGGAUAUCAUGGGAAGAAGACUGAACCAAGUUCUUGUCCUGGAUCUGUCAGCAACUAGAUGGGUAACCUUGAGUAAGUCACUUAACCUCUGUCUGUAUUCAUUUACUUAGUUGUGAAAUGGAGAGAAUAAUGCCAUCCUUUAUGUAUACACGACGAUGUUGUGGGGGUCAAAAGGAAGUAAUAUAUGCAAAAGCAUGGUGAAUGCUGUUCCAGA